ACUCCUACGGGAGGCAGCAGUGGGGAAUAUUGCACAAUGGGCGCAAGCCUGAUGCAGCCAUGCCGCGUGUGUGAAGAAGGCCUUCGGGUUGUAAAGCACUUUCAGUCGUGAGGAAGGUAGUGUAGUUAAUAGCUGCAUUAUUUGUACGUUAGCGACAGAAGAAGCACCGGCUAACUCCGUGCCAGCAGCCGCGGUAAUACGGAGGGUGCGAGCGUUAAUCGGAAUUACUGGGCGUAAAGCGCAUGCAGGUGGUUUGUUAAGUCAGAUGUGAAAGCCCGGGGCUCAACCUCGGAAUAGCAUUUGAAACUGGCAGACUAGAGUACUGUAGAGGGGGUAGGAAUUUCAGGUGUAGCGGUGAAAUGCGUAGAGAUCUGAAGGAUACCGGU
rnacentral:rRNA from 1 species